GGACCGGUGUGAGGAGACACACCCCGUGCUCUCUUCAGAAGCAAUGUGGAGAGAAACGCGGUGCAGUGAGACUUCAUUGUUCCUGCUUUAUUCACCUGAUACAGGGCCCCUCCCUGAACCAUUAUUGUCUCUUGGUAAAGGACUGAAAAGGCUCAGACUGCAACCACUGACAUCCUCAAUGCUGCAUGGCUUGUCUGAGCUCUCCAUGGUUGACUUCAGGUUCGGACCUGUGCCAAGAGGUUCACCCCUAUCAUACCAGUGUCCUCCAGUUGUAGCCGUACCCACAAGUCAUGUAUAACACCCAGAUGCACCCGUAUUCUCUGAACUGCCAUUAGAAGGCUCAACAUUCCCUGCUGUUUUUCCAAACUUUGAGCCAAAUUUGCAACAUGUCCUCCAUCUAAUCAAGGAUAUAAGCAGAACCGAAAGACGUCUCAACUAGAUCGUCGGCAAUAAGUUCCUCAUCAGAGGACGAAAGGAAGAGGAAGAAGAAGCCCAAGAAAAAGAAGAAGAAGAAGCAGAAAGCAAAAAAAAAGGUCUAAAAAGUAGAUUAUCUAUGUGAAUGAACAAAUAUUGUUUAUAGUUCUAAUUUUUAGUGGAAUUUGUGUGGCAUUUUUGUUUUGGGGAAUUGGGCACAAUUACGUUUUUGUGACAUUUAGCAGUACUUUUGUAUAUAGUAGUUGAAUAUUAUUUAUAUAGUGGUUUAGCUUAUGUAGUACUUUCCUAUAGUUAGUUUAAAUAAAUAGAAUAUUUUUUUCUUAUAAGUAAGAGUUAUCAAUAAUGCAUAAUGUUUUUAUUAUUUUGCUCUGGUUUGUGAAUUGGUUAUUUUCAAAAUAAAUUUAUUUAAUAAUGGAAACAAUGUUACAGAACCCUUUGUACUUACAGACAGGUCAUGGGUACUUAGAGUGUAAGUACUCGGUACCUGCAUAGGUAGGGAAGGUAGUUACAGGCAAAGUACUCAAUAGUUGCACAGUAAGUGAAGCCAACAAGUGUUCACUUUAUAAUACGACCAGUAGUUACAGGCAAAAUACUCAAUAGUUGCACAGUAAGUGAAGCCAACAAGUGUUCACUUUAUAAUACGGCCCGGUUCCCAGUUGUUGACCAGUAGUUACAGGUAAAGUGCUGGGUUGUUGCAGUGGAAGUACUGGAUAGUUAGACAGUAAGGAAAGACAAGGGUGAUCUUAAGGGCUGGGUAACUUUAAAAGGUGAAUUGUUGUCUCUGAAAAAUAAAGAUAUUAAAUAAAUAAAGAUGUUUUGUACGUCUG